rnacentral:snRNA from 1 species
AGAUAUGGGUCUCUUCACCUAUU